rnacentral:lncRNA from 1 species
CCUAUCAAGUUGAGGAAAUGUCACAUGAUAUUCAAAAUAUUGAAGUCGAACGUGUAUCAGGAUUGCAUGACCCUAACGGUGAUUUUGAAGAAGAAGAAGAAAAAGAAGAAGAAGAAAACGACAAGAAAAGUACAUAAUAAGGAUUCCUACUUUAGAUGACCAGACUACACCGAAUGUUGGGCCCUCACAUCUUGUGGUACAACCAACACAAGAUCCUAGUAGUCUUCCCGCACCUGCAUAUCUUGGAACACCUAUAGUUUCUCCUUCUAUACCCUCCUCAUCCAUCUGAUGAUCGUCCCCCACGAUCAAAUGAUCAUCCCCCACCAUCUGAUGAUCAUUCCCCCGAUCUGGUCAUCGUCCCCCACCAUUUGAUGAUUUGCUAUCUGAUGAUCAUCAUUCAACUGGUGAUGAUGGUAAUGACCCCGAUCCUACUGAUCGACC